UACGUAGGGUGCAAGCGUUAUCCGGAAUCACUGGGCGUAAAGGGUGCGUAGGCGGGUUUUUAAGUCAGGGGUGAAAUCCUGGAGCUCAACUCCAGAACUGCCUUUGAUACUGAAGAUCUUGAGUCCGGGAGAGGUGAGUGGAACUGCGAGUGUAGAGGUGAAACUCGUAGAUAUUCGCAAGAACACCAGUGGCGAAGGCGGCUCACUGGCCCGGUACUGACGCUGAGGCACGAAAGCGUGGGGAGCAAACAGG
rnacentral:rRNA from 1 species